CCUUCCACUGAGAGACUACCGAUUUGUAGCGGUGACCGAUACAGUUACCCACAACCGGUUACAACACAAAUAAAUAAUUCGCGGCAAAGAAAAUGACUCUGAAUCGCAAGUGGUUUGCGUCCUCAGACAAAGCUGCGUCAGGUUCCUGGAACUGUCACACCUGAGAAGACCGACGGAUGUUAUGAAUGAGGGGAGGACAGCCAGGUGGACCCAGAUGUUUCCUGCUCGAAUGUGGAAACUGUGUCAAGCAGCGUGCCGUGGAAAGUGUGGCUGGCACUUAAUUGUUUUCGCGCCUAAACGCCGACUCCAGAGAAUGAAUUUAAUCAUCGUGCCAGACUUCUCCUCUAUGUCGAAAUCGAACCAGCUAAAGGAGGUUUGGUUAAGCAACCAAGCUCCAGGCUUUAAUUUAAUCUUUUGAAUUACAUUUUUUUUUCUGAAACAAAAUUGAAUAUGUUAUUUAAAUGAUCUUUGCUGUUGAGAGGCUCCUGAUUUCUCAGGAAAUUGCCGUUGGGACCAAACUUCUAUUCAAAGUCCCUCUUUAAAGCAAGAUGAGUUACUCCCAGGAUUUAUGAUGUUGAUGACAUGCAUAUAACAAUAUAAAAUUAUCUGCUGAACAAUAACAAGAAAAACUUAACAAGACCAUCAAAACCACUUGAAAAAAGCCCUACAGUUCUUCAUCAGAAAUCAUAAAGGAUUCUCCUACGUAAAGGACUGGGUAUUUUUCUUUAGUUAGAACCUUCAUUUCUGUAGAAAUCCUCUGAAAUUGUUUGCCAGCAUCAAGAAUUAAAAUGUGUUUGGUUUUGUAUGACCUUAAGGUACAGGGUGUAAUCGUGCAAAAUUAACAGUAGUUAAAAAAAAUGUAAAAUAAAAACACCCCCAAAAUA